CAUCAAGAAGAAGAAGAAACAAU
rnacentral:sRNA from 1 species